rnacentral:tRNA from 1 species
GCAGCAGUGUAGCAUAGUGGUAAAGAGCAGGGCUUGUAACCAAAAGAUUCUUGGUUCAAUUCCCUGCUGGGGCA